rnacentral:rRNA from 1 species
AUUGAACGCUGGCGGCAGGCCUAACACAUGCAAGUCGAGCGGAUGAAGGGAGCUUGCUCCUGGAUUCAGCGGCGGACGGGUGAGUAAUGCCUAGGAAUCUGCCUGGUAGUGGGGGAUAACGUCCGGAAACGGGCGCUAAUACCGCAUACGUCCUGAGGGAGAAAGUGGGGGAUCUUCGGACCUCACGCUAUCAGAUGAGCCUAGGUCGGAUUAGCUAGUUGGUGGGGUAAAGGCCUACCAAGGCGACGAUCCGUAACUGGUCUGAGAGGAUGAUCAGUCACACUGGAACUGAGACACGGCCCAGACUCCUACGGUAGGCCGCAGUGGGGAAUAUUGGACGAUGGGCGAAAGCCUGAUCCAGCCAUGCCGCGUGUGUGAAGAAGGUCUUCGGAUUGUAAAGCACUUUAAGUUGGGAGGAAGGGCAGUAAGUUAAUACCUUGCUGUUUUGACGUUACCAACAGAAUAAGCACCGGCUAACUUCGUG